rnacentral:rRNA from 1 species
AGCGAACGCUGGCGGCAGGCUUAACACAUGCAAGUCGAACGGGCUUCUUCGGAAGUCAGUGGCAGACGGGUGAGUAACACGUGGGAACGUGCCCUUCGGUUCGGAAUAACUCAGGGAAACUUGAGCUAAUACCGGAUACGCCCUUUUGGGGAAAGGUUUACUGCCGAAGGAUCGGCCCGCGUCUGAUUAGCUUGUUGGUGGGGUAACGGCCUACCAAGGCGACGAUCAGUAGCUGGUCUGAGAGGAUGAUCAGCCACACUGGGACUGAGACACGGCCCAGACUCCUACGGGAGGCAGCAGUGGGGAAUAUUGGACAAUGGGCGCAAGCCUGAUCCAGCCAUGCCGCGUGAGUGAUGAAGGCCUUAGGGCUGUAAAGCUCUUUUGUCCGGGACGAUAAUGGCGGUACCGGAAGAAUAAGCCCCGGCUAACUUCGUG